GGAUGCGAUCAUAGCAGCACUAAAGCACUGGAUCCCAUUAGAACUCCGAAGUUAAGCGGAAGUCCUCAUGUUGCACUCC
rnacentral:rRNA from 1 species